rnacentral:rRNA from 1 species
AAUGGGCGCAAGCCUGAUCCAGCCAUACCGCGUGGGUGAAGAAGGCCUUCGGGUUGUAAAGCCCUUUUGUUGGGAAAGAAAAGCAGCCGGCUAAUACCCGGUUGUUCUGACGGUACCCAAAGAAUAAGCACCGGCUAACUUCGUGCCAGCAGCCGCGGUAAUACGAAGGGUGCAAGCGUUACUCGGAAUUACUGGGCGUAAAGCGUGCGUAGGUGGUUGUUUAAGUCUGUCGUGAAAGCCCUGGGCUCAACCUGGGAACUGCGAUGGAAACUGGGCGACUAGAGUGUGGUAGAGGGUAGCGGAAUUCCUGGUGUAGCAGUGAAAUGCGUAGAUAUCAGGAGGAACAUCCAUGGCGAAGGCAGCUACCUGGGCCAACACUGACACUGAGGCACGAAAGCGUGGGGAGCAAA